CUGCAACUCGCCUGCAUGAAGUCGGAAUUGCUAGUAAUCGUAGGUCAGCAUACUACGGUGAAUACGUUCCCGGGCCUUGUACACACCGCCCGUCAAACCAUGAGAGUUGGCAACACCCGAAGUCGGUAGUCUAACCGCAAGGAGGACGCCGCCGAAGGUGGGGGUUGAUGAUUAGGGUUAAGUCGUAACAAGGUAGC
rnacentral:rRNA from 1 species